CCUGUGAGACGUGCCCAUUGGAUGAAGGAAAGGCUGAGGAUGUGGCCUACCUAGACUUCAGUUAGGCUUUUGACACCAUUUCCUGCAGCAUUCUCCUGAAGAAGCUGGCUGCUCAAGGCUUGGAUGGGAGUAUGAUUUGUUGGAUGAAAAACUGGGUG